UGGGGAAACCAUCAGCUGAGCCUAUAGGGU
rnacentral:piRNA from 1 species